rnacentral:rRNA from 1 species
UGGGGAAUAUUGGACAAUGGGAGAAAGCCUGAUACAGCCAUGCCGCGUGUGUGAAGAAGGUCUUCGGAUUGUAAAGCACUUUAAGGUGGGAGGAAGGGCAGUAAGCGAAUACCUUGCUGUGUUGACGUUACCGACAGAAUAAGCACUGGCUAACUCUGUGCCAGCAGCCGCGGUAAUACAGAGGGUGCAAGCGUUAAUCGGAAUUACUGGGCGUAAAGCGCGAGUAGGUGGUUCGUUAAGUGGAAUGUGAAAGCCCCGGGCUCAACCUGGGAACUGCAUCCUGAACUGGCGAGCUAGAGUAGGGCAGAGGGUGGUGGAAUUUCCUGUGUAGCGGUGAAAUGCGUAGAUAUAGGAAGGAACACCAGUGGCGAAGGCGACCACCUGGGCUCAUACUGACACUGAGGUGCGAAAGCGUGGGGAGCAAACAGG